rnacentral:rRNA from 1 species
UACGUAGGGGGCUAGCGUUGUCCGGAUUUAUUGGGCGUAAAGAGCGUGUAGGCGGCCAGGUAGGUCUGGUGUGAAAACUCGAGGCUUAACCUCGAGAUGUCAUCGGAAACCAUUUGGCUAGAGUCCGGAAGAGGAGAGUGGAAUUCCUGGUGUAGCGGUGAAAUGCGCAGAUAUCAGGAAGAACACCAAUGGCGAAAGCAGCUCUCUGGGACGGUACUGACGCUGAGACGCGAAAGCGUGGGGGAGCGAACAGG